CAGGCACUUGCUCAAUGUGAUAUGGCCCUUACUAACUUAGGCAUUAUUAGACUUAGUGCUGAUGAUUCUGCUGGUGCUGCUCGGAUGGUUGCUUCGAGUGGCAAAAGAGAUAUAGGCGCAAUAGCAAGUGCUAGAGCAGCUGCAUUAUAUGGGCUUGACACUCUUGCAGAUAAAAUCCAGGACGAGGAUGAUAACGUUACCAGGUAUUUGGUACUUGCAAGAGAACCUAUAAUUCCC